rnacentral:lncRNA from 1 species
CAGCACGAAGCCGCCUAGAAUAGUAAACUCUUGUGUUCGAACUUGUCGCACCGUCAUUUGUUGUUAUUAAGCUCUUUUGUCACCGAGGCUGAGUAAAUCCUUGGCAGAUGCUCCUGUCAUUUCUUGGAGCCCCAGGAAUGCGAGCAGUGGCAGCUGCUGGGUUGGCAGGUCUUACACGCGAGGACGUGCCGGGGCCAGGCUGUUCAGACACGGCUGUAAGCAUCUUAUUCCGGACCAGAUUUACGAGAGCAAUCAAACCUGCAGAAAAAGAAAAAAAGAAAAAAGAAUUCCUGUGGCCGCGGCCGAUCCUGUGGUCUUGGCUUCAAACACGUUUUACGUUUAGGUUGUGGUGGUAUGGUUCUUAUUUACUAAGGAUCCAUAUAAAGAAGAAAAUAAGAGAGGACCCAGAAUCCCACAGCCAAAAUAGCCCUGUGGACAGUUUAAAAUAAGGUACGCACGGGGGUAGCCAGUCAAACGGCGAAGAAUUGAAAAUAGAAAGGGCCAUCUCCACCCACCCCCACGUCUCCUCUGCCUCCCCCCGGAGCCCACGACCAUAACGGGCGGGGUCUCAUUCUCCUUCCAGAAGAGAGAAAACGCUUAUGUAGGCUCCCAGCCGCUCAAGGCUCCUGUCUUCCCAGAUUCAUCCAGUAUGAAGAGGAAAGACAGCCUCCGUGUCUCAGUCACUCCAGGAAAAGUCCCAGCUUGAGCGUUGCUUGACUGUGCGUGGGUCGUGUGCUGACCCAGGGACGGAAAUGGAGUCAGUGCCGUGGGAAUCACAUGGAAGAGACAGCGAGAGGCGUGGUUUCCUGAGGAACAUGAAGGCUGGAGCUGCUGGAAGAAGGAUGCUGGCUAGACCAACAUCACAGUUCACCACACCACCACCAUUUUCCUAUUUUUGUAGUUGCAUCUUUUUUUUUUUCCUGAGGAAGAUUGGCCCUGAGCUAACAUCUGCCACCAAUCCUCCUCUUUUUGCUGAGGAAGACUGGCCCUGAGCUCACACCCGUGCCCAUCUUCCUCCACUUCAUAUGUGGGACGCCUGCCACAGCAUGGCUUGCCAAGCGGUGCCAUGUCCGCACCCGGGAUCUGAACCGGCGAACCCCAGGCUGCCAAGAAGCAGAACAUGCGCACUUAACUGCUGCGCCACUGGGCCGGCCCCUGUAGUUGCAUCUUAUUAUUACUAUUUCAGGACUAUGAAGACCAGCAGAGGCUGGUGGUCCUGCAGGACUGUUUCCUUGUGCCGCUAUGCACAGCUCUGCACAACACCCCCAGCCUCCCUUCCAUUAGGUGUGACCACGUGACUGAGUUCUAAGCAACAGGACAUGACUGGAAAGGACGUGCACACUACCCGGGCUGGCCGGUUAAAGCCUCCCACCAUCACCCUCUAUUCACUUCUCUCUUUCAAGCCGACUGGAACAGAGACGACCCCUGGGGCCACCUUGGAAGCCAAGCGUUGGAGAUGGAGGAGCCAGGCGGUGGCAGGAACCCGGGUUUCUGAGUCACACCUUGAGGAAAACCACCGGCUGAUCAAGAAAAACCACGACUUUCCACGAGCAACAAUCAACUUCUGUCAUUGUUUGAGCCGUUUCACAUUUUCGAGCUUGUUUGUUACAGCAGCUAACGUUACCCCGACUGACUGAUACAAGUGGAGAAAUGAGGCCUCUGGGUCCCCCAGGUGAAGUCGACCUGAUGGAGAGACACACACUCCUUCCCCAGCUCUGGGCUGCGCAGCCACAUGCAGGUUCUGGUAUAAAAUUCAUGUAGUGUCUUUCCAGGGUGAACUGAUAGGAAUCACCUUCCCUAUGUGUUGAUCACAUCAAACUAAGAGGCUGUCUUUACUGGGCUAUUUUACUUUUUUUUUUUUUUUUUUUGCUGAGGAAGAUUGGCCCUGAGCUAACAUCGGUGCCAAUCUUCUUCUAUUUUGUAUGCAGGACUGCCACCACACUAUGGCUUGAUGAGUGGUGCUAGGUUCACAGCCAGGAUCUGAACCCAUGAACCCUGGGCCACCAAAAUGGAGUGCACAAACUUAACUGCUACACCACUGGGCAUGGCUAUUUUACUUUUAAACUACAGAAGCUCAGGCUUCUGUAAAAAAGGCAGAGUUGGUUCUUGGGAAUACAAUGUGGGCAGAGCAGUGUGGUUUUAUCGCUUGUUUCUUUGUUUGGCACCCAAAGGACACCUGGGAAUUCCAAUGCUUCUCCGAGUCUGCCCUCCCUGCGUGUCUCCGCCUGUUGGUUUUAUAUUUUGAAUCUGAGACCAAGUUUUUCUUCAGGAAGAGAUCCUGGCACAUUUUAAACUCAUAGUCCCCAAAUUCUUAUUUUCCCCAAAAAAGAAUGGAGGCCGCCUCUCUCUCUGGUUUUAAGGUCUGAGAUCUCACACUGUCCCCUCCUGCAGUCCUGUCCUGGCACCUCCAGCAACGGUCCGUGACAUGUUGAGUACCAUCCCAUGGCUCUCUGGGCCCAGUUUCCCUCCUGGAAGAAAAUCAUCAGAGAAUGUGUUUGACUGCAAGUUAACAGGAAUCAAUGAUGUCAACAAACAGGUACUUAUUUUUCUCACACAAAAAAAAUCUGGAAGAAGGAGGUUUCAGGCGUUAAUUCACUGACAGCUGACAUCUCGGGUUCUUUCUGUCUCUCUGCCUCACCACCCUUAGCAUGUUGACUUUCGUGCCUGUUGCCUCAUGACCACAGGAUGGCUGCCACAACUCUGACCAUCACAUCCACAUUCAAGGCAGGAAGAAGGGAAGAACCACCAAGGCUUCCCAGAAGCCUCCCAGCUGACUUCUGCUUUCAUCUCAUUGGCCACCAUGCUGUCACAUGACUGUCACUGGUAGCAAAGGAUGCUGGGAAACUGAGUCCCUGGUUUUCAGCCUUGGAAGCAGAGGCGGGUGGUAAAGAAGGGGGCCGGGCAUGGCGGUUGAGUUACCAUAGUAACCGCUGGAGUUCAGGGUCAUGAAGGAGAUGAAGAACGGGAGAGUCCGACAUAAGGAGGAAGCAGAGCAUCCUGUAGGGGGUGAGGAGGACUCCUCGUCGUAGGGUGUGGAAUUUACAGCCUGGGGGACAACCUCUGGGAAUCUGUGACUCCAUGAUCUUCUGUGACCGGGAGGGAAACAGCAACAAUAACGACAACAGUAAUAAUUAGCAUCCAACACACGUGCCAGGCCCCCGCUCUGCAAACACGGACUCCUUUAUUGCUCCAACCAGCCCUGUGAUCA